rnacentral:rRNA from 1 species
AUUGAACGCUGGCGGCAGGCCUAACACAUGCAAGUCGAGCGAGCGGCGGACGGGUGAGAAAUGUCGGGAAAACUGCCAGAUGAGGGGGGUUAACUACGGGAAACGGUAGUUAUUACGGAAUACCAUCCAAUUAGCCCAGAGGGGAUUAGCUAGUAGGUGGGGUAACGGCUCACCUAGGCGACGAUCCCUAGCUGGUCUGAGAGGAUGACCAGCCACACUGGAACUGAGACACGGUCCAGACUCCUACGGGAGGCAGCAGUGGGGAAUAUUGCACAAUGGGCGCAAGCCUGAUGCAGCCAUGCCGCGUGUAUGAAGAAGGCCUUCGGGUUGUAAAGUACUUUCAGCGGGGAGGCGUUACCCGCAGAAGAAGCACCGGCUAACUCCGUGCCAGCAGCCGCGGUAAUUC